GGAUGUGAAGGGAUCUGGCUGAGCCUCUGUCUCCCUAGUUAUCUCCAGGGUGGGUUCAGCUGAGCAGGCUGUAUAGGCAGGUGUCCUCUCCUCACUGUUCUCUGUGUGUCCUUCCUGAAGUUGUGCACUGGGUCAGAGAGGACAACCUUCCUUGGUAGGAGAGGACUGAG
rnacentral:snRNA from 1 species